AGAGAGAGACAUGCGCGCAUAUCAAUAAGCGGAGGAAAAGAAACUAACAAGGAUUCCCCUAGUAACGGCGAGGUGAAGCGGGGAAGAGCUCAAAUUUGAAAUCUUAAAGGGUUUCCCUUUACGAAUUGUAGUUUAAAGAAGUGUUUUCUGUUGAGGUUUUGGUAAAAGUUCUUUGGAAUAGGACAUCAUAGAGGGUGAGAAUCCCGUAUUUGACCUUUACUUUCAACUUUGUGAUACACUUUCAAAGAGUCGGAUUGUUUGGGAAUGCAGUCCAAAAUGGGUGGUAAAUUUCAUCUAAAGCUAAAUAUUGGCGAGAGACCGAUAGCGAACAAGUACCGUGAGGGAAAGAUGAAAAGAACUUUGAAAAGAGAGUUAAACAGUACGUGAAAUUGUCAAAAGGGAAGCGUUUGACACCAGUGUUGUUUUUCUGAAAAUCAAUUAAAGAACUGUUUAUGCUAAGUUGUUUAGACUUUAUCAGCUAACUGUUUAGUUUUGAGCUUUUCUUUAAUGCACUUUUCAGUUAACAAGUCAACAUCAAUUUCUUUUGCUGUAAAAAAGCUUGAGGAAGGUGGCUUGAGAUUCGUCUUAAGUGUUUAUAGCCUCUUGCCUAUGCAGUCGGAGAGAUUGAGGUCUGCAGCGUAGAUCCUUCGGGGCUAAAUGCAUUUGUGCUAAGUUAUAGCAUUUUAUAGACAACUUGUUGACUAUGAUUUGUCUUGUAGCUUACUCGCUUAUGUUAUUUUACCUACGCUUAGGAUGUUGAGCGCAUGUCUCUCUCU
rnacentral:rRNA from 1 species